rnacentral:rRNA from 1 species
UGAUAUUACCUUAUUAUUAGUGUCGUCCAAAACUGGUGCCAGAAGACUCGGUAAGGCCAGAGACACAAACGUUAAUCGUCUUAAUCAGGCGUAAAGGGUUUGUAGGCGGCUUUAAAAUUUACUUAUAUAAAUAAAAAGUAAAAAAUAAAAGCUAGAAUCAAAUAGAGGAUAUAUGAAAUAACGCUUAGAGUAGGUCUGAUAUCCUUAGAUACUAAGUAGAAUAUUAAAGGCGAAAGCUUUUUUCCAUUAAUGAUUGACGCUCAGAAACGAAGGUGAGGAUAGGAAAUAGGAUUUGAUACCCAGAAUACCCCUCUCUGUCAACGAUGAAUGGUAGUUAUUAGUAAAAAUUUAUUAAUGGCAAUGUUAACACGAUAACCAUUCCGCCUUGUGAGUACAACUGCAAAGRUGAAAACAAAAAAA